rnacentral:rRNA from 1 species
UGGGGAAUUUUCCGCAAUGGGCGAAAGCCUGACGGAGCAAUACCGCGUGAGGGAGGAAGGCUCUUGGGUUGUAAACCUCUUUUCUCAGGGAAGAAUAAUGACGGUACCUGAGGAAUAAGCAUCGGCUAACUCCGUGCCAGCAGCCGCGGUAAUACGGAGGAUGCAAGCGUUAUCCGGAAUGAUUGGGCGUAAAGCGUCCGCAGGUGGCAAUGUAAGUCUGCUGUCAAAGCGUCUGGCUCAACCAGAUAAAGGCAGUGGAAACUACAUAGCUAGAGUAAGGUAGGGGUAGAGGGAAUUCCUGGUGUAGCGGUGAAAUGCGUAGAGAUCAGGAAGAACACCGGUGGCGAAAGCGCUCUGCUGGACCUUAACUGACACUGAGGGACGAAAGCUAGGGGAGCGAAUGGG